UACGUAGGUGGCAAGCGUUGUCCGGAUUUACUGGGCGUAAAGAGCGCGCAGGCGGCCGAGUAAGUCGAAUGUGAAAGCCCCCGGCUCAACUGGGGAAGGUCAUUCGAUACUGUUCGGCUUGAAGAUAGGAGAGGGAAGCGGAAUUUCAGGUGUAGUGGUGAAAUGCGUAGAUAUCUGAAGGAACACCAGUGGCGAAGGCGGCUUUCUGGCCUAUUCUUGACGCUGAGGCGCGAAAGCUAGGGGAGCAAACAGG
rnacentral:rRNA from 1 species